UGGGGAAUUUUGCGCACUGGGGGAAACCCUGACGCAGCAACGCCGCGUGGAGGAUGAAAUCCCUUGGGAUGUAAACUCCUUUCGAUCGGGAAGAUAAUGACGGUACCGAGAGAAGAAGCCCCGGCUAACUUCGCGCCAGCAGCCGCGGUAAUACGAUGGGGGCAAGCGUUGUUCGGAAUUAUUGGGCGUAAAGGGUGCGUAGGCGGUCUGAUUAGUCUGAUGUGAAAUCUAUGGGCUCAACCCAUAGUCUGCAUUAGAAACUGUCGGGCUUGAGUAUGGGAGAGGUGAGUGGAAUUUCCGGUGUAGCGGUGAAAUGCGUAGAUAUCGGAAGGAACACCUGUGGCGAAAGCGGCUCACUGGACCAUUACUGACGCUGAUGCACGAAAGCUAGGGGAGCAAA
rnacentral:rRNA from 1 species